CCUACGGGUGGCAGCAGUGAGGAAUAUUGGUCAAUGGCCGAGAGGCUGAACCAGCCAAGUCGCGUGAGGGAAGACGGCCCUACGGGUUGUAAACUUCUUUUGUCAGGGACGAAGAAAGUGACGGUACCUGACGAAUAAGCCACGGCUAACUACGUGCCAGCAGCCGCGGUAAUACGUAGGUGGCAAGCGUUAUCCGGAUUUACUGGGUGUAAAGGGCGUGUAGGCGGGACUGCAAGUCAGAUGUGAAAUUCCAGGGCUCAACCCUGGAACUGCAUUUGAAACUGUAGUUCUUGAGUGAUGGAGAGGCAGGCGGAAUUCCGUGUGUAGCGGUGAAAUGUGUAGAUAUACGGAGGAACACCAGUGGCGAAGGCGGCCUGCUGGACAUUAACUGACGCUGAGGCGCGAAAGCGUGGGGAGCAAACAGGAUUAGAUACCCGGGUAGUC
rnacentral:rRNA from 1 species